AAAAAGAAGAAGAAGAAGAAAAAGGAGAGGAAGAAGAAGAAGAAGGAAGGAUAAUAAAAGAAUAAUAUUCGAAAUAGUUUAAUCUAAUGCAAAUUGAAUAGAUCUAUUUAUAAAGUAUAGUUAAAAGUGUCAGUGUCGUGUGUGGCGACGACGUAGGUCGAUGCAACGUUAAAAUGUGGGAAGCUCGAGUGCGUUUCUCGUUGCGAAUAAAGAAAAAGUGUGUUCGGAGUGAAUCGGCUUGUAGCUGACUAUAACUUAAAUCUGUUUGGUUCCAACUGCCAAGCCAAACCGAACAGAGAUAGCGUACCUACCUCCACGGUUAAUUAC
rnacentral:lncRNA from 1 species